CAGCCGCCACGGUAAUACGAAGGUCCCAAGCGUUGUUCGGAAUCACUGGGCGUAAGGGAGCGUAGGCGGCGUGGUAAGUCAGAUGUGAAAUCCCGGGGCUCAACCCCGGAACUGCAUUUGAUACUGCCAUGCUUGAGGGUUGGAGAGGUAGCUGGAAUUCUUGGUGUAGCAGUGAAAUGCGUGGAUAUCAAGAGGAACACUCGUGGCGAAGGCGAGCUACUGGACAACAUCUGACGCUGAGGCUCGAAGGCUAGGGUAGCGAAAGGGAUUAGAUACCCCAGUAGUCCCUGUCUCUUAUACC
rnacentral:rRNA from 1 species